CAUUCGUAACUAUGAAAAGCAUGAUACUCUUGCCAGGAAUCUACUUAACACGAUCGUGACUAGCGACCUUUACUACUUGCGAAUAUAAAUUCAUAACGAUUAGAUGAAACAAACUUAUAUCCUAGCAUCAAAUUCAAGCAUGCAAAUUAAGCGUGCACUCUCAAUCAACAUACAAGAAUAAGUUCUAAAUCAAACAGUUAAGCGAAUUGUAUUCACGACUUAUGCAACGAUAACUGGAAGUAAUCAACUUAUUUCACAUAUAUAAUCAUGGUUUUGAAUCCACCCUUAGCCAAAACGAAUUUAGCCAAUCAUACUUAAAGCAAAACAAAGAUUACAUGAAUUAGACAUUGAAAUAUAAGAGAGAAAACACCUAAAAUCGUUCAACAACUCAGAUUGAAAAGCCAAACAAUUGUAGAGAAUCUGUCCCCUUUGUUGCUUGCGGCAGAUUGUAUGGUGAUGCUUCUUGGAUUGUUUUGAUGAUGUAGAAUGGAAUUUGGGGGUUGUAGAGGCAUGGCAAGGGUUGUAGGAUGAGUGUGGAUGAGUGGUGGAUGAGUGGAAAAUGGUGGAAAGCUCGGCAAGAAUGGUGGGAAGGUGCGGCAGAUUAUAGAACUAGGGUUUCUGGAAUUUUGAAUGAAUGUAGCAGGUUCUCCCCGGCCUAGAGGUUAAAACACAUAUAUAUAUGCACAACAAACCCUAGGGCAAACAGAUUAGGGCCUCCAAAACCCAAAUCCAUCAGAAAUUAGGUUAAACAAUUAGAAUUUAAGUGGGAAAAGGGCCUAGGGUGCGGCUGGUUACUAGGGUAAAAGAAUGGGCCUUCUAGAAUGCCUUGCAAGGCAAGGAAAUCAGAUUUCUAAAGCCUUAGGUGCGGCAAGGGUUAGGGGGGAAAGGCUAGGUCAUCUAAAAGCCCAAAGCCAAGAAUAGAAACUCUCGAAAAUGGAAACCUCCAAGAAUA
rnacentral:lncRNA from 1 species